rnacentral:rRNA from 1 species
CCUACGGGAGGCAGCAGUGGGGAAUAUUGGACAAUGGGCGGAAGCCUGAUCCAGCAACGCCGCGUGAGGGAUGACUGCCUUCGGGUUGUAAACCUCUUUCAGCACAGACGAAGCGAAAGUGACGGUAUGUGCAGAAGAAGCACCGGCCAACUACGUGCCAGCAGCCGCGGUAAUACGUAGGGUGCGAGCGUUGUCCGGAAUUAUUGGGCGUAAAGGGCUCGUAGGCGGUUUGUCGCGUCGGGAGUGAAAACACACAGCUUAACUGUGUGCUUGCUUCCGAUACGGGCAGACUAGAGGUAUGCAGGGGAGAACGGAAUUCCUGGUGUAGCGGUGAAAUGCGCAGAUAUCAGGAGGAACACCGGUGGCGAAGGCGGUUCUCUGGGCAUUACCUGACGCUGAGGAGCGAAAGUGUGGGGAGCGAACAGGAUUAGAUACCCUGGUAGUCCACACCGUAAACGUUGGGCGCUAGGUGUGGGGCCUAUUCCAUGGGUUCCGUGCCGCAGCUAACGCAUUAAGCGCCCCGCCUGGGGAGGACGCCGCGAGACGAACUACAAGAAGUAGACGCGUGAGACGUCGCCGACGGCGACGACGAGGGAGGUUAGG